rnacentral:lncRNA from 10 species
GCCAGAUUAGCAAGACACGCGCACACACUCUACGUUUAAGUCACACCCUGCAAUGCAGAGAAAAUAUUUCAAUAGGCAUCUGCAGGCGGCCGAGAAGAACUGGAGCAAUGAUUAUUUUCCUCCUUUUUUGAUUUUCUGUUUCUAAAGAAAGCACUGGUAUCAAGGACGAGUUAGGUAAUGCGUAUUAAAAGGCAAGCAGGUCGCUCUCGUUUACGCCCAAUCAUAGUUCAUAGUUCAAGGAAAACUGCCUUUAAUUGACACCGUGUAUAUUCCUCUGCUCCUCUCAGGCUGCCCUGGCAGGGACGCCCCAAGAGUAUUUAUUUCUAGGGUUGGAAACAAAACAACCAACCCCGUCUACUGCGUAAGAGAGCGUUCCAAGAUGGACUGCCGGAGAAAGGCUUUUUGACCCCUGUGGAAAUUAGUCAUAUUGACAGACGCCCAGGGAAGGUAAAUUACCCCGCGCGCUGACGUUACGCAGAGGCGCACCGGGUUCCGACUCCACCGCGGCGCCGAGGGGGCCAGAGGCUCCCAGUUCUUCCCCGCAUAGUUCGACAAAGCCCUACUUUGCUUCCCUGGGUCUGGGAUCUCAACGUGAAGGGGGCCGAGAGAGCGGUGAUAAGGUGCUAGAAAGGAAACGGCAAGAGGAAACUAAAAAAGUGGAGAGAAAUUUUGUGCGCCGUAGUGCUUAGCAAGCUGGGGAAACGAGGAGAAAACGAGCAAAGUCUACAGGGGAGGGAGAGAGGGAGGAGGCAGGGAAGGAGAGGACCACGAGGCUCCCGGCGCCCAGGCCGCCACUUGGGAGGUCCCGGCCCCAAAGCAGGCCGGGCCAACCGUCCCCCCGGGAGGCUCGGGGCUCGGGCGGGGUCACAAUUACACCUCGGCUCCAGGCGAGGACUUAAAAACCAAGUGGUGGGGACUGCAGUCUGGAAGCAAGGCCCUGCGGUCAUCGGAGGGGGGCCAGGCCCGUGCACAGGAACCUUUUACAAGGCAUGUGGGUACAAGAAAAAAAAUCAAAAUAAACCACUUUCAUCCAGCAUGGGCAGUGAAAAGAAAAGCUGCCUUCCAGAGGGGGCGAGCGGGAGUUUUGAAAUUCAUUGUGUGUUUUGCCUUUAUAUAAGGAGUUUUGCGUUUUUUACCGAUAACCAAAGGGGGACACUAGGGGGAAGUAACUGCUAUUUUUUUUUUCUGGAGAGGGCUGAAAUAAGGGGUUCACCGGUUCUUUCACAAUCAGAUGGUGUCCCAGGACUGCAAGUAACUGCGUACAUCCACACAGCGCAUUACACCAACCUGAGAAGAAUCCUUGCGUGACCGGAUUGUUUCUGGUAUAAAAUAGGGCCUAACGGUCCCAUCUCUUUUCUUUUAAAAAACUGAGUCUGUGGAGGGGGCUUAUUGGAAAGCAUCAAAAGAGUGGCAUCUGAUUUUCUGAUUUUACCGGAGAUUGGACUGGAGGUCUUCUUUACUAAGAGUAACAGGCGUAGCCACAAAAGAGCCUGGUCUGGUCGCAAAGUAAAGGCAAAACUAGUGUGGGCCCUUAGCCUCGCCGGCCCCGGCCCUCGGAAUGCAAAAGGCGAAAGCUCCCUCCUGGGCAGGGCCAGAGCGAGAGCGAGUGAGGAGCUCCUCCCGGACCUCGGGCCUAGCUUCGGAGGUAUUUUUAGCUCCUCUCUCUGCUCCCCAGAGGCUCUUUUGUAAGCUUAACAGAGGCUCAGCAAGCUGCCCUCACCCCGAAGGGCUGUGGGAGGAGGCUGCCCUAGUAUCUUGAAGAAAAAAGAAAUUGCCUAUCCUUAAGUUUAAAACAAUAUUCGCUCUCUCUAGGCUCCCCUUCUGUUCUCUCGUUUUUUUCGCCCGCAGGAACACUCCAAGUUCCACAGUUAAAGAGGACCGGGAGGGCAGGAAUGGGUGGGGCCUGGAAAUCAGCUCCGAAACUGGGUGCGGCACACCUUCCUCUGCCUUUCUGCCUCUCUCCCGGCCACUGCUGCUCCACGGGAGCCAGUCUUGGAUACCUAGGGUGGGGGACAGGGGGACGGGAAGAGCCUCGGUUGUCUCCAGAACCUGCCGAGCCCCUGCUGCAUCUGGGACCCGCCUUCACCGUUUCCCAAUCCCAGCGGUUAGCCCCUGCGCCCCCUUUUUGGUCUCCACUUUGCCGUUCGAAAAUGCCUAGGUUGGUGGAUCGACCCUCCGCGGAGCAAAGACGGAUGGCUGGCAGGAGCAGGUUCAGGAGCUGGGCCAAGUUUCACACGAAGAGACUUGGAGUAUCUGGAGAAGGUUUUUGAAGACGUUUAGGAGGGAGGGUGAGUUUUCUGCUGAGAAACUCAAUCUGCCAUACAGUAGCGGCCCCAUCUGGGAUCUGUCACUGCUGACAGCACCAGAGGGCACAGCCGUGAUCUUCUGCACAGCCUGCACUCCCCGAAAUACCCUCCUUAAUCAAAGGAUGUCUGCGCGCCUGAGCUCAGCUGACCGCGCCGGGAGCACCAGGGCCGUUGGAUUCCACCCCAGCCCGCCCCCUCCCCACGCACACAGCCACGGCCCCUCGCGUCUUCGCGGCACGUUAAUUAAAUGCGGAAAACAGACAGAGGCUGAUGUCAUUGCUCUCACAAGAUCAUAAACGUAAAAGAGUCAUCCUGUGAGAAUCCCUGAAAAUGACUUUAAUGAAUAAUUUCAGAGACAGUUAUGACUUUGGGUGAUUACUGAGCAAGAAUAUGAAAACCAGAUUUGCAAAGCGAAGGCGAUGGUCAAAAGGCCUGGCAGUUACUUUCUCUCAUUAAAACCGCACCGGCUUUCCUUCUUCGCCAAGUACUAGUUACCAACUGAGGUUGCGUUUUCAGGUUUUCUUCUUCAAAAUAACAGUCUUCUUUUCCUGCUUUUCUGCCUUAUCCUAAAGACAAAAUGUCAGCUCCAGGGAACGACAUUAACAACCCACUUUAAAUUGAAGGCAACUCUGCACUGGCGUCAGUGGCCAUUGGCUUCCAUCUUUUUACAAAGGUUGGAUUUACUGCCAUCUUAGGAUCAUAUCUCUUUUGGCCUCUUCUCUAGGCAAUGUAUUUAAUGAAGGUUGAACAUUCUCACUGACCCUGAGUCAGUGCACUGUUUGUUGUAAAGGAUCUCAGCUGGUGGGGCAAAAAACAAGUUCCAAACAACCUGCCUUUACAGAAGAGUCUCCCUGACUCUUUAGUUCUAGGUCACCAAUGAACUGAAAAAUGAUUUGGUGCUACAUUAAGGAAUAUUUUCAAACACUCCAUCUGGCCAUGGAGAAGCAUCCAGUUGGUUAUAUCUGGUUGCUCAUGCAUUAAAAAUACUAUUUGAGAAAACAACUAGGGUGUUAGUUGUGGAAGUGGCCUGGUGAGUACCCUCUGAUCUUUUGCACGAAGUUUAGCUGCCUGCAAGUCUGUCUUCUUUGCUUGAAAAUAUAAACUGGGACUCUCUGGGCCUGUGUCCCAUGUGGAUUUAUUCCACUUAAUUCAAGUAAAAGUUUGUUUAUACUCUGAGCAAGAAAGUAUUAUAGGCACAAGUGAUGUGGAGUUUUCAGUUUGCUUGUUUUUUGCUGUUGUUUGUUUGCUUUUGAGCGAUCUGAGUGAUUUAGAAAACUAAUGUGUCUCAGUCGGCUCCACCAUUCAGACAGAUCAUAGAGAACCCACUUACCAGCACUCUAGAAAACUGUACUUUGUGCAGACAUUGCCUGAUCCUCCCCUUUCUAGAAGCACAGAUAGGCCAGAAUCCUUCAGUCACUGAGGACACAAUUGUCUAAAAGCCUCAUUCCCUAUCAUUAGCCCCCAAACCGCAGAGCUGUUUCCUUCCCUCUUGGCUCCAGAUAGGGGUGGGUGGGAGAGGGGACUAGGCUCUCCAUGUGACAUUUCCCUGACUUGAGAGGAAAUGUUUCUUUCUGAUUCUAGAUUACAUGAAGACACUUUGGAGUUGGUGUAUAGGGUUUCCUCAAAGAACUGAGGUAACGUGGACUUUAGGGAAUUUUCCUCAAUUGGAUUCCCUGUUUAUUUGUGAUACUAUUUGUGUCCCCCAAAUAGAUCUUCUUGUUGCUCCACUCACAUCAUGAGCAGUUUUCCUUUUCCUCUAGUUACAUUCACUCUAGCUUCUGACUGAAGACUCUGCUUGCCCUUUGUAGCCCGUGCAGGAAUAAACAGCAUCUUCUGGAUUUGCUUUGAAUCCUUGUGCUGCCCAAUGAGUCAGAGGUGUAGGGUUGAUCCAAUAAUAUGGCUAAUUCUCUCCCUGUAAAGACUUUAAAUAAUGUAGGCCUCUCUUCACCCAUCCCCCAUUCUCACCAUCCUGGACUUCACGCGGGUCAUGGAGAAGGUGUCCAGGGUGGGAGGCACGCUGGGUGGGUGUGGCCUCCUUUGGCACAGUGGUUCGGCAUCCUCUGGGGGAGAUUUUGAAAACUGCAGGCUCCGCGUCGAGCCCCUGACCUGCUGAAUCAGAAUUUCUGGUGAAGGUAGGGUGAAAACGGGGCUGAAUUUGUCAUUGUAUCAAGUUGUCCGGGGAGUGGAAAGUCCAGGUGUUGGAUUAAUCCCAGCACCCCUUACUUCAGAAGAGACCAGGCUAUCCCGCAGAACGCUAGGGUCAGAGGUCUGGGGCAUCAGUCAGCCCGUCCAGGAAUUAUGCAAAUAUAUGCAGCCUCUACUCUGAACACUGGGACGUAGUAGGGGACAAAGCUGCCGCCAGCCGUCCUCGUCCUUGCGAGGUGUCAGUGUUUGCGCCAGGGACAACUCCCUGGAGGGCUGGGGGAAGGGAGGGGCAAAAGAGGGUCCAGGGCCUCAGCUCGCUAUGUACUUUAGGGUUUAAUAACAGGUGCAAAGGCAGCUGCUAAAAGACAUCGCAUUCUGUAAUCAGCUUCUGCCAGGCUGUCCGGCUAAACAGAAACUCCCACAAUUUUGGCCCGAGGGCUGUAGGGCGGAGCGGGUGCCAGUGAGAUGAGGGCAACCCUAAGAGGUGGCAUAAGAGCCUUACCCCUAAGAGCCACCCCAACCCCAUCCGGGGCUUGCACCGGCACCGCCUGGGCCGCAGUUGUUGCCUCAGGGAAGCUUCGCCCUGGCGCAGGGAUAGAGCAAAGAAGCGACCGCAUGUGGAAGGCUUUCCAGGCGGAAUGCUCCAGCCGUAGCGAGUUGGAAAAUUUAGAGUGGGGAGGGGGCAGUAGAGAUGUUAACUGGCCCCUCCUCACCCCAAACAAGGAAAACACAGUCUUCUGGGCUAAAAAUACAUAUUUAUGAAGUCCCUAUACGCAGGCAGGCGGCGCGUUCCAGCUGCCGGCCUGGCCCAGGGAGGACUUGGCCGCGCGGCCGCCGAUUACACCCAACUCGGCUGGGAUGGCUCCGAGCCGUCUGCCCUGACGUCAGCGAGGCUCCGGCCCCGCCGCGGCAAGAUAGGCGAGCGCGGCCGGGCGCGGGUGCGGCACUAAUCACUCCCAGAUGUCCCUAAUAGCGGAGAUAAAGACGGACAGAGCGGCCGGGAAUAAAUUUGUAAUCAGGGCUCUACCAUCUGAUCAUCAAAGCGGCCCAAAUGCCGGGAGAAUUUGAAGGGAAUGCGUGUGAGGGGGGUCGCUUGGGGGAAGAGGUGAGGGUGCACUUCGCGAUGGGAACUGGCUUCGGUAGGGUAGAGCAGGGAGAACAGGGCGAGAGAUCUGUAAGUUCGGUGCACGUAAGUCGGAUACUCGGUGCUCUUUAACCUCCAUUAGCCCUCAGACCGAAGCCGUUUAGCGGUUCCAGGCUGAUUGGAGCUGCGCAGUUGCUGUGCGGGAAGCACGCGUUGCGCAGCGGCUGGGUGGUAAGGCGGCGCGAUGAGAACUGUCCGGCCCCCGGAAACGUGGGAUUGGUUUCCUCUCCCGGAGUUCUCCCCUCCCCCUUCUUUCUAAACAUUUAAAAAACACGUAGUCCGUCUCCCCCAACCCCCAUUCCCGGUAGACUUAAUCCCAACAGCAAUUCAUUGCACCGCGGAGCUUCCUCAGGGAGGGGGCUGUUGGAGCCUCCAACCAGGGUCCUGGGCCCCAGUCUGAGAAUGACUCCUGGGUUUUUCUCUCCAAGCGAUCCGCAGGCUCUGACAGGCCAGGAGUCGCGCGCGUCCGGGAGACUCCUUAGCGCCCCCUCCUCACGUGGAGAUCUGGACUCUCAGGAGCUGGGCCCAAUGGAAGGAAUGGGUACCCUUGGGUCACCAGGGUCCAGAUUCGGCCCUCUACGGCGCCCAUGCCACAAGCCUCCCUCAAGACCAUCUCUGCUUGGCACCCACUAGCCAGCUCCUUUUCCAAAUCUAGGAGCCUGGGUGGGACUCACAGGCAGGGAGAACUCAAGGCGGCUGUGGAAAACAAAAUCGCGUGCCGCCCGCGCAAUAUUUGAUUAAAGCUUCAGGGCUAACUGAGCGGUUUCUUGCGCUUUGCAGGCCCGCAGUGUAUGUUCAGUCCCAGUUUUCCUGGCACCCUUUGCCCUGCUUAUGUCCCCUGCACACACCUCAGGCCCUUGCAACUGGCCCGGGUUCUCUCUGCAAAUCUGUAGUCUGGGAAGGAACUCCCGGGUCUCGUACUCCCUGCCGCUUUGCAUUUGAGCUCUCACCUUCCUCACCCCUUCCUGCGAAUUCCAGGUGCGCUUACCUCUCUUGUUCUCCUGCUACUUCACCAAUCCGAGCGGGAGACUAGCUCUGCAAUUCACGCCAAGCUGGGGCAGCGGCUAGCAGAGUCUGGUCGAAGGAAUUGAACCACCUUCCACUCCCGACACACGCACAAGUGCUAAGAGGCCCCCAGGCUGCGCUCCCUGGCACGGCUGCUACGCUCACCUCAUCACGACCAAGCAGCCUGGUGCUCCUACACCUAAGGAGGCAACCCAGACCCAGAGGUCCACCCUUCCUAGAUGCCUGGGCCUGCUGGCUAACCCAUCCCGAAAGCUGGAGCUUGCUGUCUCGGCCUGGAAAAGCCCUUUAAGUUGCUGUCAGUGCCCAGGCAAUUGGGAGCGGGGCCCCCACUCUGCAGUUUUUCAAAUUGCUUCCCAAGCUGAGAAGGGGUUUGCGCGCGCGCACACACACACACACACACACACACACACACCGUCUACAACUGGCCAAGCCUUUGCCCCUCCGGUGCUCCAGGGUUAUCAGACGCUGGGCCUGCACAGCGGUCUGGGGCAGAGCCCUGACAGCCAGAUCUACCAUCAAUUUACCUUCCGCCGCCGCAGCUUCCCAUUUAGCUUUUAACGUCAAAUCCUACAUUUUUGUCGGCUCCGGCCUGUCUAGAACGCUUGUGAUUUCCCUGCAGGAGUGAUUGCUCUUAACAAAAUGGCAGCAACCACAUUAUCCGAGCAAUUAAAACAGAGGCCUUUUAGCCGGUCCCGCAAGUAGAGGCUUGGAAAAUUUUUUUAAACAAAGAAGAAAAAGUUAAAAGAGAAAUAAGUGUUGGAAGAGAAAAGCAUGGAAGCUCAGAAGAAACGUCUGCCCAGUACGCCUUUCACUUCCUGGGACUUGACAACCUGGGGCGGGGAUGUUGGGUGGCUGAGAGCGGCUGGGGUGACAGAUAAUCUGGGGUGUCCUGCAGGUUGAAGCAUCUGGUCAGUUGGGGUGUGCGUCUGGUUAGGGGGUUCAGCCGCCUGCAGUGUCAGGCAGCUGGGCAUUCUGCCGUCUGGGGUGUCCGGUCUGCUGGGUGUCUGGCUGGUUAGGGUUUCUGGCGAGUUGAAAUGGCAGGGCGGGUGGGGUGACCAGGCCUAGUGUUGCUGGCCCUGAGGAAGAGGAGGCAGGCUGUGCUUGGCCGGGGCCAAAGAGGAGCGCAGGUUUAAAAAGCAAGUGUAUUAGCAAGUUUCUCCGUAGCAAUGGUGCGCCAGGGUCUUUUGGUUUCCCUCUGUUGUUGUUUAAUAAGCCAGAGAAAGUGUUAAAUCUGCAGAAGUGCCUUAAGGCCCAGAUGGCGGAGACCAGCUACACAAGGUGCAGAGAAGCGUAGGUGCAUGGUGAAGAUAACUCCUCUCCGUUUCCUGUUUUUAAAACCUCACCUCCUCCGCCACUGUUUACUCCAACACUUUGGUAGGCUCCUUUCUUCCACGUCUAGGACCUGAUGGCUUUCUCCUGAGCAGAUUAAAAUAAAGACGCGGAAGACAACUGGAAUCAGGAGAGGGAGGGAACCACUGGAUCAAACGCAGGAGGAUUGGGAGAGCAACAGAAAAUCAGGGCGCGCCUCCCCCACACCUCCUCCCCAUGCUAUAAACAAAGCCUCCUCCCCCCUUCCCGCAGCCUGCACAGGCACUUUAGUUUCUCCGGUUUCUAGAGCUGAGAUUCAAGCUUCCGCCAAGGCUGCAGGCAAAGGAGGCCGCUGGGACUUUCUUCUGGGACGAGCUGGGACUCAGGGAGCCCAAAGACCCAACAGGGAGAGAUCCCGGGUCCCGUGCUGCCGGUAGUCCCGGAAGGGUGUCGCUUGUUUCGCUGGGCUGCGGCCGGGAAGACUUCAGACACCGCACAGUUAAUAUUGAGUUCCCUGUAACUCCUUGUAAAUCUAACCCGCCCCUCGCCCCUCUUUAAAUCCGUGGUCUUGUUCACGAUUUCUUACUUGACGUAAAAUUCCUUGUUACCUAAUCAUGGACUUUUUCGAAACUCCCUCCACCCCCCUUUCCCGCCUGCUCAGAUGAGAAGCCCCCGUAUAGAAUACAAGCAAAAUCCUCUCCUCUCUUUUCUUUUUCCUUUUUUUUUUCUUGGAUGAAAGCCCCAUAGUUUGAA